rnacentral:rRNA from 1 species
GAUGAACGCUGGCGGCGUGCCUAAUACAUGCAAGUCGAGCGAACAGACGAGGAGCUUGCUCCUCUGACGUUAGCGGCGGACGGGUGAGUAACACGUGGAUAACCUACCUAUAAGACGGGGAUAACUUCGGGAAGCCGGAGCUAAUACCGGAUAAUAUAUUGAACCGCAUGGUUCAAUAGUGAAAGACGGUUUUGCUGUCACUUAUAGAUGGAUCCGCGCCGCAUUAGCUAGUUGGUAAGGUAACGGCUUACCAAGGCGACGAUGCGUAGCCGACCUGAGAGGGUGAUCGGCCACACUGGAACUGAGACACGGUCCAGACUCCUACGGGAGGCAGCAGUAGGGAAUCUUCGCAAUGGGCGAAAGCCUGACGGAGCAACGCCGCGUGAGUGAUGAAGGUCUUCGGAUCGUAAAACUCUGUUAUUAGGGAAGAACAAAUGUGUAAGUAACUAUGCACGUCUUGACGGUACCUAAUCAGAAAGCCACGGCUAACUACGUG